UUGAUGCAGUUUGAGCUUUUCUCUUCCCAGCAGGUUUGCGAAUCACAUUAAGCUCUUUUGGUGACCUGGGAGGCUAGUUUAGAAGGUGUUCUACCCUGAGCGAGAGGGUAAUUGACUCUUGGACUGUCUUCGACUGGCAUUGGAGGGCCUUUUGGAAACUUAAUUUGAGCUGCGUCGAGGCUCCGUUGAGCAGGGUUCGGGACUCCUUUUAGCUGGAUUGAGCUUGGUGAUAGAGCCUUCCACCGCGGGAAAGGCUAGGGUUCUUGGCAAGGGGUCUGCGGCUAGUUAGAGCCUUUUUGGACGUGUACUAGAUGACCUCCACCAGUUUAUAUAGUU